rnacentral:rRNA from 1 species
UACGAAGGAUGCAAGCGUUAUCCGGAUUCACUGGGUUUAAAGGGUGCGUAGGUGGGCAAGUAAGUCAGUGGUGAAAUCUCCGGGCUUAACCCGGAAACUGCCAUUGAUACUAUUUGUCUUGAAUACUGUGGAGGUCAGCGGAAUAUGUCAUGUAGCGGUGAAAUGCUUAGAUAUGACAUAGAACACCAAUUGCGAAGGCAGCUGGCUACGCAUAUAUUGACACUGAGGCACGAAAGCGUGGGGAUCAAACAGG